UACGUAGGUGGCAAGCGUUGUCCGGAUUUACUGGGCGUAAAGAGCGUGUAGGCGGCCAGGUAGGUCUGCUGUGAAAACUCGAGGCUCAACCUCGAGACGUCGGCGGAAACCAUCUGGCUAGAGUCCGGAAGAGGAGAGUGGAAUUCCUGGUGUAGCGGUGAAAUGCGCAGAUAUCAGGAAGAACACCCGUGGCGAAGGCGGCUCUCUGGGACGGUACUGACGCUGAGACGCGAAAGCGUGGGGAGCGAACAGG
rnacentral:rRNA from 1 species